rfam:Yersinia pestis CO92 complete genome
UAUGAUGCAUACAGUUAUUUUUCGCUUCUUUUUUUACUUUAGCGCCUGAUUACAGGAGGCUUGCGCGUAAGAAUAGAAACGAAAAAUAGCGCCGAAGCCUCCCAUCGUGGAGGCUUUUUUGUU